rnacentral:rRNA from 1 species
CUCCAGACUCCUACGGGAGGCAGCAGUGAGGAAUAUUGGUCAAUGGGCGCGAGCCUGAACCAGCCAAGUCGCGUGAGGGAAGACGGUCCUAUGGAUUGUAAACCUCUUUUGUCGGGGAGCAAAAGACGCCACGCGUGGCGUUCCGAGAGUACCCGAAGAAAAAGCAUCGGCUAACUCCGUGCCAGCAGCCGCGGUAAUACGUAGGGGGCGAGCGUUAUCCGGAAUUACUGGGUGUAAAGGGAGCGUAGACGGCGAGGUAAGCCUGAAGUGGAAGCCCGCGGCCCAACCGCGGAACUGCUUUGGGAACUGUUUUGCUGGAGUAUGGGAGGGGUAAGCGGAAUUCCUGGUGUAGCGGUGAAAUGCGUAGAUAUCAGGAGGAACACCGGUGGCGAAGGCGGCUUACUGGACCAUAACUGACGUUGAGGCUCGAAAGCGUGGGGAGCGAACAGGAUUAGAUACCCUUGUA